GACCUAAUAGCGAAAUUGGCAUCGCAUCCACUACCGUUGAGAAAGAACUCUGCGGUUUCUGUGGAAGGCCCUUGUUCGAAUCGAGGUUAGGUCU